rnacentral:rRNA from 1 species
UACGAAGGGGGCUAGCGUUGCUCGGAAUCACUGGGCGUAAAAGCGCACGUAGGCGGAUUCUUAAGUCAGGGGGUGAAAAGCCUGGAGCUCAACUCCAGAACUGCCUUUAAGACUGCAUCGCUAGAAUCGUGGAGAGGUGAGUGGAAUUCCGAGUGUAGAGGUGAAAAUUCGUAGAUAUUCGGAAAGAACACCAGUGGCGAAGGCGACUCACUGGA